AUCUGCAGAUACUAUUACACCUUAGUAGUCUCCUCCUAUCUACAGUGUACUGUUAGACAGGAGUGUCGAUUUCACCAGCAGUUUUCUAAUGGCCUUAUAUAGUCAUCUCUUGCAUAAAUUGUAGGGUGCCGCUUAUACAAAGCCAAAGAGAGUCCUAGAGACAUUCAUUUCACCAAACCUCUAUUGUCAAGGUAGCUGUCAGAAUAAAGCCGCAUAGUUGAAUAAUCUAAUUUCAUUCUAAAGUAGAAUGUAGCUCGAGCCUGAUUCUGCGCUGAUGCAUCAACGUAAAAAGUCUGCUAUGUCUAGACAGUAGUUCUGUCUCUCAAUACCAGCUUAAAUACUUGAACAUUUUUAUUUAAUUGCGUAAAAAUGGUCAUACAUUGGGUUGAAAUGCAAAAGAUUUUUAACACGCUAAUGUUCCACUAAAUAACAUUGGAGUUAAGCUUAGAAGAAUGUGUAAUAGUCUUUUAAAAUAAAGAACAAUAUUAUAAUGUAUGCAUUUCAAUAGCUAUAUAAUAGUAGAAGGCAUUUUCCAAAUGCAAGAGAAAAAUGUUCUGAAGCGACUGGCCUUAUGAUCUAUUGUUCAAGAAUUGUAUAUCCAAUUCUCUAUAUGGUAAACAUGAAGGUUUUUGUUAAUAUCUUUAAAAGAAAUGGAAAGAUUAUAACAACAGAAGUUAAAAAGAAAAUGCAGUUUGUAGUUGUCUAAUGAACUUUAAGUUAUUGCUCAUUGUAUUGCUUAUUCUGAAGAAAUGAUUUCCUGGCAUUAGCAAAAGAUUCAAUAAAAUGGCUGUGCUACA